rnacentral:rRNA from 1 species
GACGAACGCUGGCGGCGUGCCUAAUACAUGCAAGUUGAGCGCUGAAGGUUGGUACUUGUACCAACUGGAUGAGCAGCGAACGGGUGAGUAACGCGUGGGGAAUCUGCCUUUGAGCGGGGGACAACAUUUGGAAACGAAUGCUAAUACCGCAUAAAAACUUUAAACACAAGUUUUAAGUUUGAAAGGUGCAAUUGCAUCACUCAAAGAUGAUCCCGCGUUGUAUUAGCUAGUUGGUGAGGUAAAGGCUCACCAAGGCGAUGAUACAUAGCCGACCUGAGAGGGUGAUCGGCCACAUUGGGACUGAGACACGGCCCAAACUCCUACGGGAGGCAGCAGUAGGGAAUCUUCGGCAAUGGACGAAAGUCUGACCGAGCAACGCCGCGUGAGUGAAGAAGGUUUUCGGAUCGUAAAACUCUGUUGGUAGAGAGGAACGUUGGUGAGAGUGGAAAGCUCAUCAAGUGACGGUAACUACCCAGAAAGGGACGGCUAACUACGUG